GCCAGGUGUGGUGGCUCACGCCUGUAAUCCCAGCACUUUGGGAGGCUGAGGUGGGCGGAUUACCUGAGGUCAGGAGUUCGAGACCAGCCUGACCAACAUGGAGAAACCCCAUCUCUA
rnacentral:SRP_RNA from 1 species